UACGUAGGGUGCAAGCGUUGUCUGGAAUUAUUGGGCGUAAAGAGCUCGUAGGCGGUUAGUCGCGUCUGCUGUGAAAACUCGGGGCUUAACUCCGGGCCUGCAGUGGGUACGGGCUGACUAGAGUGCGGUAGGGGAGGACUGGAAUUCCUGGUGUAGCGGUGAAAUGCGCAGAUGUCAGGAGGAACACCGGUGGCGAAGGCGGGUCUCUGGGCCGUAACUGACGCUGAGGAGCGAAAGCGUGGGGAGCGAACAGG
rnacentral:rRNA from 1 species